CGGACGGGUGAGUAAUGUCUGGGAAACUGCCUGAUGGAGGGGAUAACUACUGGAAACGGUAGCUAAUACCGCAUAACGUCGCAAGACCAAAGAGGGGGACCUUCGGGCCUCUGCCAUCGGAUGUGCCCAGAUGGGAUUAGCUAGUAGGUGGGGUAACGGCUCACCUAGGCGACGAUCCCUAGCUGGUCUGAGAGGAUGACCAGCCACACUGGAACUGAGACACGGUCCAG
rnacentral:rRNA from 1 species